rnacentral:rRNA from 1 species
GAUGAACGCUGGCGGCGUGCCUAAUACAUGCAAGUCGAGCGAACAGACGAGGAGCUUGCUCCUCUGACGUUAGCGGCGGACGUGUGAGAAACACGUGGAUAACCUACCUAUAAGACUGGGAUAACUUCGGGAAACCGGAGCUAAUACCGGAUAAUAUAUUGAACCGCAUGGUUCAAUAGUGAAAGACGGUUUUGCUGUCACUUAUAGAUGGAUCCGCGCCGCAUUAGCUAGUUGGUAAGGUAACGGCUUACCAAGGCAACGAUGCGUAGCCGACCUCAGAGGGUGGUCGGCCACCCUGGAGCUGAGCCACGGUCCAGACUCCUACGGGAGGCCGCAGUAGGGAAUCUUCCGCAAUGGGCGAAAGCCUGACGGAGCAGCGCCGAGUGAGUGAUGAAGGUCUUCGGAUCGUAAAACUCUGUUAUUAGGGAAGAACAAAUGUGUAAGUAACUGUGCACGUAUUGACGGUACCUAAUCAGAAAGCCACGGCUAACUACGUG